rnacentral:tRNA from 1 species
GGAGAAGUGGCUCAUCAGUUAAGAGCACUGGCUGUUCUUCCAGAGGACCUGGGUUCAAUUCCCAGCAUCCACA